UCAAGAUAAGAUUUCCCACCGCAAGGGUAAGGCCCCAGAAAGACUAUCUGGUUGAUAGGUCGAAGGUGUAAGUGCAGCAAUGUAUUUAGCUUAUCGAUACUAAUAGGUCGAGGACUUGACCAA
rnacentral:rRNA from 1 species